AGUGAACGCUGGCGGUAGGCCUAACACAUGCAAGUCGAACGGCAGCACAGUAAGAGCUUGCUCUUACGGGUGGCGAGUGGCGGACGGGUGAGGAAUACAUCGGAAUCUACUUUUUCGUGGGGGAUAACGUAGGGAAACUUACGCUAAUACCGCAUACGACCUACGGGUGAAAGCAGGGGAUCUUCGGACCUUGCGCGAUUGAAUGAGCCGAUGUCGGAUUAGCUAGUUGGCAGGGUAAAGGCCCACCAAGGCGACGAUCCGUAGCUGGUCUGAGAGGAUGAUCAGCCACACUGGAACUGAGACACGGUCCAGACUCCUACGGGAGGCAGCAGUGGGGAAUAUUGGACAAUGGGCGCAAGCCUGAUCCAGCCAUACCGCGUGGGUGAAGAAGGCCUUCGGGUUGUAAAGCCCUUUUGUUGGGAAAGAAAAGCAGCAGGUUAAUACCCCGCUGUUCUGACGGUACCCAAAGAAUGAGCACCGGCUAACUUCGUG
rnacentral:rRNA from 1 species